GAUGAACGCUGGCGGCGUGCCUAAUACAUGCAAGUCGAACGGGGAGUCGCAAUACUCUUAGUGGCGAACGGGUGAGUAACGCGUUGGUACCUGCCCCGAAGCGGGGGAUAACGGACCGAAAGGUCCGCUAAUACCCCAUGUGCUCGGUAACGAGUAAAGGUGAACACCACUUUGGGAGGGGCCUGCGUCCCAUCAUCUAGUUGGUAAGGUAACGGCUUACCAAGGCGAUGACGGGUAGGGGACCUGAGAGGGUGGCCCCCCACAAUGGAACUGAAACACGGUCCAUACACCUACGGGUGGCAGCAGUAGGGAAUAUAGGAAAUGGGCGCAAGCCUGAACCAGCAACGGCGCGUGAGCGAUGACGGCCUUCGGGUUGUAAAGCACUUUUGACUGGGACGAGGAAGGACGGUACCGGUCGAAUCAGCCUCGGCUAACUACGUG
rnacentral:rRNA from 1 species